AUUGAACGCUGGCGGCAGGCCUAACACAUGCAAGUCGAGCGGAUGAGUGGAGCUUGCUCCAUGAUUCAGCGGCGGACGGGUGAGUAAUGCCUAGGAAUCUGCCUGGUAGUGGGGGACAACGCUUCGAAAGGAACGCUAAUACCGCAUACGUCCUACGGGAGAAAGUGGGGGAUCUUCGGACCUCACGCUAUCAGAUGAGCCUAGGUCGGAUUAGCUAGUUGGUGAGGUAGAGGCUCACCAAGGCGACGAUCCGUAACUGGUCUGAGAGGAUGAUCAGUCACACUGGAACUGAGACACGGUCCAGACUCCUACGGGAGGCAGCAGUGGGGAAUAUUGGACAAUGGGCGAAAGCCUGAUCCAGCCAUGCCGCGUGUGUGAAGAAGGUCUUCGGAUUGUAAAGCACUUUAAGUUGGGAGGAAGGGCAGUAAGUUAAUACCUUGCUGUUUUGACGUUACCAACAGAAUAAGCACCGGCUAACUUCGUGCCAGCCGCCGCUGUAAAAC
rnacentral:rRNA from 1 species